rnacentral:rRNA from 1 species
UACGUAGGGCGCAAGCGUUGUCCGGAAUUAUUGGGCGUAAAGAGCUCGUAGGCGGCUUGUCACGUCUGCUGUGAAAUCCCGGGGCUCAACCCCGGGCGUGCAGUGGAUACGGGCUGGCUAGAGGCAGGCAGGGGAGACUGGAAUUUACGGUGUAGCAGUGAAAUGCGUAGAUAUCGUAAGGAAGACCAGUGGCGAAGGCGAGUCUCUGGACAGCAACUGACGCUGAGGCACGAAGGCCAGGGGAGCAAACGGG